GACGAACGCUGGCGGCGUGCUUAACACAAGCAAGUCGAGCGGAGCGGCGAACGGGUGAGUAACGCGGGAGUAACUGCCCCCCUCUCUGGGAUAACAGUUGGAAACGGUUGCUAAUACAGGACAGUGGGGGCGGACUCGCGUCCUAUCAGAGUGUUGGUGGGGUAGUGGCCUACAAAGGCGACGACGGGUAGCCGGCCUGAGAGGGGGACCGGCCACAUUGGGCUACGAUACGGCCCAAACGCCUACGGGAGGCAGCAGUGGGGAAUAGUGCACGAUGGGGGAAACCCUGAUGCAGCAACGCCGCGUGCGGGAUGACGGCCUUCGGGUUGUAAACCGCUUUCAGCCAUGACGCGGUAGUGGCAGAAGAAGCACCGGCUAACUACGUGCCAGCAGCCGCGGUAAUAC
rnacentral:rRNA from 1 species